rnacentral:rRNA from 1 species
AACUAACGCUGGCGGCAUGCCUUACACAUGCAAGUCGAACGGUAACAGGUCUUCGGAUGCUGACGAGUGGCGAACGGGUAAGUAAUACAUCGGAACGUGCCCGAUCGUGGGGGAUAACGGAGCGAAAGCUUUGCUAAUACCGCAUACGAUCUACGGAUGAAAGCAGGGGACCGCAAGGCCUUGCGCGGACGGAGCGGCCGAUGGCAGAUUAGGUAGUUGGUGGGAUAAAAGCUUACCAAGCCGACGAUCUGUAGCUGGUCUGAGAGGACGACCAGCCACACUGGGACUGAGACACGGCCCAGACUCCUACGGGAGGCAGCAGUGGGGAAUUUUCCACAAUGGGCGCAAGCCUGAUGGAGCAACGCCGCGUGCAGGAUGAAGGCUUUCGGGUCGUAAACUGCUUUUAUUGUGACGAUUAUGACAGUAGCAAAUGAAUAAGGGUCGGCUAACUACGUG